UACGGAGGAUGCAAGCGUUAUCCGGAAUGAUUGGGCGUAAAGCGUCCGCAGGUGGCUAUGUAAGUCUGCUGUUAAAGAGUCUGGCUCAACCAGAUAAAGGCAGUGGAAACUACAUGGCUAGAGUGCGUUCGGGGCAGAGGGAAUUCCUGGUGUAGCGGUGAAAUGCGUAGAGAUCCGGAAGAACACCGGUGGCGAAGGCGGUUAGCUGGGCAGUUGCUGACACUGAGGCGCGACAGCGUGGGGAGCAAACAGG
rnacentral:rRNA from 1 species